GACGAACGCUGGCGGCGUGCUUAACACAUGCAAGUCGAACGGAAAGGCCCUGCUUUUGUGGGGUGCUCGAGUGGCGAACGGGUGAGUAACACGUGAGUAACCUGCCCUUGACUUUGGGAUAACUUCAGGAAACUGGGGCUAAUACCGGAUAGGAGCUCCUGCUGCAUGGUGGGGGUUGGAAAGUUUCGGCGGUUGGGGAUGGACUCUCGGCUUAUCAACUUGUUGGCGGGGUAGUGGCUUAC
rnacentral:rRNA from 1 species